rnacentral:sRNA from 1 species
AGCUCUGCCUCCAGGGACUUCUGCUCGUGGUGGCUCAUCGGUGGCACCCAGCCCAAGUCCCGGGCUUCGGAUGGCUGGUGUGGGCCCUCAGACCCCACGUUCUGCUGGCACUGCUCUCUGGCUAGAGCUAGAAGGCGGGCUCUGAUGGGAAGCCACAUGGCUGUGUGGGGAGCUGCCCUGUUCCCUGAGCGCUGUGCUGGACCCCUGCAGGCACCUGGUGCUUAUCCUCAAGACGGAGGAUGUUGUCUUGAGGAAACUGAGGCUCAGAGAAAAAGACUUGCCCAGAUCACAGGGCCAGUAAAAGGCGGCUGGCUGACUCCAGCAGGCCCAGGGUUCUUUGUGCCACACCACCUGGACACUGGCUGUGCUGUGAGCCGCUGCUACCUCCUGCAGAAGACCAGUGCCCAGGGGCCCUAUGGGUGAAGCCUUGCUGGUGUGCAGCAAUGGCAUGCUCUGUGGGGAGCUGGAAGCAGAGCUGUCCUUUGGAACCCAGAGGGAGAGGGAGUGAGCACUGAGGGGACACAAAGCUGGGAGGCGCAGGGUGUCUGGGUAGUGCCACCAGCUCCGCCGUGGCCGGGUUCCAAAGACCAGCCUGCAUCCCCAGUUGGCACGACCGCUGCAGGGAAGUGCAUGUCCUUUGGGUCGGGAUGGUCAUCUGCAUUUAUUUGCCUCUGGAAGAAGGAGACAGUGCUGGGACUUACCUCCCGGGCCUGGUCAGCAGUCCCUGGGUGCGUCAUGGUGGUCCAUGGGCAGACGUGGCCAUGCUGAUGCACAGGUGGGUGUGGUCCCUCAGGCUUGAGCUGUGCUUGAGGGAGCAGUGGAGGGCUGCAGCUGAAGUGCUGGGCUGUGUGUUCCUACGAUUGGACAAAACAUCCUUAGAUGUUAAAAACCCCUAUUUACCCAUAAGCAUGGCUGAUAAAGCAGAUACGUAAACGUCAGAUGUACACAAUAUGAUAUGCAAAAAUGGUGCAUACCAGUUUGUUACCCCGUGUACUAAAUAUUUUCUUUAUGUCUGCCAAGUUUUUACAUUGGAUUUGAGAGAUUGUGAUCGCUUUCAGUCACCUAAGUAGCAGCCCCGUGCAGGUGUGACAAGGGUGUCAGGGUGCCCCACCAGCCCGACUAUUCAGGGAGCAGUGUCCCGGGUGGGGUGGGCUGCAGGCAACGGCCAGGCCUCCUGGAGGAGAAGCUGGCGGCCAUGCUGCAUGGGCAGAGGUAGGCCUGGAGGCAGCGGCAGGGAUGGGACAGGGGGCAGGAGAUGUGGGUAUGCACAGGGUUGGUCUGGGAGGUAGGCUGGAAAGGGGCUGGGUUCUGCCAUAGGGCCCAGAGCGGGCAGGCGUCCCGGGAGUCUUGAGCGCGGCAUGGUCUCUGCGGCCCUAAUUUCGCAGUCUCUCCCCAGAUCACCGCACAGCAGAUCACCACCCCUGGCGCGCAGCAGAAGGUUGCCUACGCCGCGCAGCCGGCCCUUAAGACCCAGUUUCUUACCACACCCAUCUCCCAGGCCCAGAAACUGGCCGGGGCCCAGCAAGUGCAGACCCAGAUCCAGGUUGCAAAACUUCCUCAAGUUGUUCAACAGCAAACACCCGUGGCCAGCAUCCAGCAAGUUGCCUCUGCUUCCCAGCAGGCUUCUCCACAGACUGUGGCGCUCACGCAGGCGACGGCGGCCGGGCAGCAGGUGCAGAUGAUCCCUGCAGUGACCGCGACUGCCCAGGUGGUUCAGCAGAAACUCAUUCAGCAGCAGGUGGUGACCACGGCGUCGGCCCCGCUCCAGACUCCAGGCGCUCCCAACCCAGCCCAGGUGCCCGCCAGCUCCGACAGCCCAAGCCAGCAGCCCAAGUUACAGAUGAGGGUCCCUGCUGUCAGGCUAAAGACACCUACUAAGCCUCCGUGCCAGUAGUCAGGGCAGCAGGGCUGCCUCUCAUCUAAAGCAAAACUACCUUCCUCACAGAAAACGCUUUAUUAGUGAACCUUGGGACCAUGUCACGCAAGAGAUUCAGCACUGGGAAAGAUAUAAUUGAAACAAAAUAGUGUAAUCAUUUUAUUAAAAUGCAUCCCACACUGCAGGACAAAUGGUCCUUAUGGAGUGCCGCAUUCUCUGUACUACGUGGCUCAUGGAAAAAGUGACAACAUGGCUUCCUCUAAAUCAUUUCACCUUUCAGUCCCCACCCGCACCCGUCCCCUAGAGCCAUAGUACUGUGUUCUGAAAGCCAUUUAGAAUUUCUUUGUGAGUAUGUAGUGCUUUGCACGCCACAGAAGCCGUCUGCCGUGUGUGAGGAGCAUACAAUGGACUUUCUAAAGAUAAGGCGUGGGCUUCCACGGUGUCUGCCAGAGUUUAGUUCUUUAUACCUUACUGAAAAAUGCCUCAUGGUCUUCGUAGAGGAGAAGACCUGUCUAAAGUAAAUCAUCCGAGAUUGGUUUUCCAUUCCAAAGAAAGGCAAUAUGGUUCCUUCCUUCCCUCCUAAAAUGUGACUUAACUUUUAAGAGAAAUGUUCUGACACCCACCUAAACACACAAGGCACGUUCCUGGCCUGUGUUCAAGGGAAAUGAUCAGUCAUUGCAUUGUUAUUCCAAAGAGCAGCCGACAGUGGCCUCCCCCAGGCCCUACCCCGCAAUGGGAUUCGCUUUCAUUUAAUGGAAACUUCUGGGACUGAUGCCCAACUCAGUGCACUCAAGACGCAUCUCCAGCUUUCGGGGGAAGCUGGUAUUUCACAUAGUGUGUUAAACAGCUCCUGAGAACCUUUGGGACACUCUGCCAUGGCUGGCAUGAGGCCCAGAGGACCACGCAGAGGCAAUGGUCGUACAGAUGUCACAGCUGAGGGUACCAUGAGGCCUGGGCUCAGUGAGCCAGGACGAAUGUGACAGACACCCCUUGCUGCCACAGUCAGCCCUUUGACGAAGGUGGGCUGGUGAUUCUGGAAGUAUUGGCUAUAGCAGUGGGCCCAGUCAACUCUUCCUUGUGGACUUACGACAGCAGAUUUUCUCUAGGAUAAGCUCGUGUGGUUCUGCCAGUGAAGCAGAGAACCACCUGUGCUGUUGUGGAAGGCGUGCCGUUGAGGGGGAAAACGAAGCCCAGUAUUUGCUACUGUUUUUCUUUUUUUUACUAUGACAAGAAAAUAAAUGCAAUUUUAGUGGAAUUG